GGAUUAAUACCGAUAGUAUUAUAAUAAGGCAUCUUGUUGUAAUUAAAGCUAUGGCGGAUAAGGAUGAGCGUGCGCAAGAUUAGAUAGUUGGUGAGGUAACGGCUCACCAAGGCGACGAUCUUUAGCUGAUGUGAGAGCAUGAUCAGCCACACGGGCACUGAGACACGGGCCCGACUCCUACGGGAGGCAGCAGUGAGGAAUAUUGGUCAAUGGACGGAAGUCUGAAACCAGCCAUGCCGCGUGAAGGAUGAAGGCGUUCUGCGUUGUAAACUUCUUUUAUUUAGGAAGAAACCACCGAUUUCUAUUGGUGUUGACGGUAUUAAAUGAAUAAGCACCGGCUAACUCCGUG
rnacentral:rRNA from 1 species